rnacentral:rRNA from 1 species
UACGUAGGGACCAAGCGUUGUUUCGGAUUUACUGGGCGUAAAGGGUGCGUAGGUGGCGCCGUAAGUCAGGUGUGAAAUUUCGGGAGCUUAACUCCGAAACUGCAUUUGAUACUGCGGUGCUUGAGGACUGGAGAGGAGACUGGAAUUCACGGUGUAGCAGUGAAAUGCGUAGAUAUCGGAAGGAACAUCAGUGGCGAAGGCGACUUCCUGGACCAUCUGCACGCUC